rnacentral:tRNA from 1 species
AGGAUGAGCAUGUUUGUGUUAGGGAUUGCUAAUCCUUAUAGCUUUGGUUAGAUUCCAGAGUUAUCCUG